CUUGGUCAUUUAGAGGAAGUAAAAGUCGUAACAAGGUUUCCGUAGGUGAACCUGCGGAAGGAUCAUUACCUAGAGUUUGUAGACUUCGGUCUGCUACCUCUUACCCAUGUCUUUUGAGUACCUUCGUUUCCUCGGCGGGUCCGCCCGCCGAUUGGACAACAUUCAAACCCUUUGCAGUUGCAAUCAGCGUCUGAAAAAACAUAAUAGUUACAACUUUCAACAACGGAUCUCUUGGUUCUGGCAUCGAUGAAGAACGCAGCGAAAUGCGAUAAGUAGUGUGAAUUGCAGAAUUCAGUGAAUCAUCGAAUCUUUGAACGCACAUUGCGCCCCUUGGUAUUCCAUGGGGCAUGCCUGUUCGAGCGUCAUUUGUACCUUCAAGCUCUGCUUGGUGUUGGGUGUUUGUCUCGCCUCUGCGUGUAGACUCGCCUUAAAACAAUUGGCAGCCGGCGUAUUGAUUUCGGAGCGCAGUACAUCUCGCGCUUUGCACUCAUAACGACGACGUCCAAAAGUACAUUUUUACACUCUUGACCUCGGAUCAGGUAGGGAUACCCGCUGAACUUAAGCAUAUCAAUAAGCGGAGGAAAAGAAACCAACAGGGAUUGCCCUAGUAACGGCGAGUGAAGCGGCAACAGCUCAAAUUUGAAAUCUGGCGUCUUUGGCGUCCGAGUUGUAAUUUGCAGAGGGCGCUUUGGCAUUGGCAGCGGUCCAAGUUCCUUGGAACAGGACGUCACAGAGGGUGAGAAUCCCGUACGUGGUCGCUAGCCUUUACCGUGUAAAGCCCCUUCGACGAGUCGAGUUGUUUGGGAAU
rnacentral:sRNA from 1 species